GGGGUGAGGGACAUGCUGCUGGAAUGUGUUUCCUGCUUAUUAAAUAAAGUUAUUUUUCAGGAUUAAAUUUAAAAACUUGCACUACAGAACUGUGGGUGGGGCUUUUCCUUUUACAACUGUUUUUACCAGAGUUUAAACUUCCAUUUGGCAAUUUCUUAUCACUUGAAGUGUCAGCAUUUGUUAACUUUUGGAUAUCCUUCUGGUCACACCAAAGAAAAACGGCUAUGGCUAAUUUUCUUGGG